rnacentral:rRNA from 1 species
AUUGAACGCUGGCGGCAGGCCUAACACAUGCAAGUCGAGCGGAUGAAGGGAGCUUGCUCCUGGAUUCAGCGGCGGACGGGUGAGUAAUGCCUAGGAAUCUGCCUGGUAGUGGGGGAUAACGUCCGGAAACGGGCGCUAAUACCGCAUACGUCCUGAGGGAGAAAGUGGGGGAUCUUCGGACCUCACGCUAUCAGAUGAGCCUAGGUCGGAUUAGCUAGUUGGUGGGGUAAAGGCCUACCAAGGCGACGAUCCGUAACUGGUCUGAGAGGAUGAUCAGCCACACUGGAACAGAGACACGGGCUGGAUGCCUACGGGAGGCAGCAGUCGGGAAUUUUCUGGAAUGGUCGAGGUCUGGACGGAGCAACGCUGCGGGAGUGAUGAAGGUCUUUGGAUCGUAAACCUCUGUGAUUACCGAAGAAGAAAUGUCUACGUAUCUAUGCAUGCCUGCACGCGACCUAAUCAGAGAGCCACCGCUACCUACGUC